rnacentral:rRNA from 1 species
AGGACGAACGCUGGCGGCGUGCUUAACACAUGCAAGUCGAGCGGAAAGGCCCUUCGGGGUACUCGAGCGGCGAACGGGUGAGUAACACGUGAGCAAUCUGCCCUUAGCUUCGGGAUAGCCCCCGGGAAACCGGGAUUAAAUACCGAAUACGACCUCGGCCGACAUCGGCUUUGGUGGAAAGUUUUUCGGCUAGGGAUGAACUCGCGGCCUAUCAGCUUGUUGGUGGGGUAAUGGCCUACCAAGGCGACGACGGGUAGCCGGCCUGAGAGGGCGACCGGCCACACUGGGACUGAGACACGGCCCAGACUCCUACGGGAGGCAGCAGUGGGGAAUAUUGCGCAAUGGGCGAAAGCCUGACGCAGCGACGCCGCGUGGGGGAUGAAGGCCUUCGGGUUGUAAACCCCUUUCAGCAGGGACGAAGCGAGAGUGACGGUACCUGCAGAAGAAGCGCCGGCUAACUACGCGCCAGCAGCCGC